GGGUGUUGACUCAGCGCCACGGGAAGC
rnacentral:piRNA from 1 species